AGUGAACGCUGGCGGCGUGCUUAACACAUGCAAGUCGAACGAGAACGGCUCUAGCUUGCUAGAGUGUCAGCUAAGUGGCGAACGGGUGAGUAAUGUAUAGCUAACAUGCCUUUUAGAGGGGGAUAACAGUUGGAAACGACUGCUAAUACCCCAUAUUCCCUUUUUAUUAAUUAGAGAGGGGAAAUGCUUUUGUGCUAAAAGAUUGGGCUAUAUUGUAUCAGCUUGUUGGUGGGGUAAUGGCCUACCAAGGCUAUGACACAUAACUGGUUUGAGAGGAUGAUCAGUCACACUGGAACUGAGACACGGUCCAGACUCCUACGGGAGGCAGCAGUGAGGAAUAUUGCACAAUGGGCGAAAGCCUGAUGCAGCAACGCCGCGUGGAGGAUGACGCAUUUCGGUGUGUAAACUCCUUUUAUAUGGGAAGAUAAUGACGGUACCAUAUGAAUAAGCACCGGCUAACUCCGUGCCAGCAGCCGCGGUAAUACGGAGGGUGCAAGCGUUACUCGGAAUUACUGGGCGUAAAGAGCGUGUAGGCGGGUUUGCAAGUUAGAAGUGAAAUCCUGUGGCUUAACCAUAGAACUGCUUCUAAAACUGCUUACCUAGAAUAUGGGAGAGGUAGACGGAAUUGAUGGUGUAGGGGUAAAAUCCGUAGAGAUCAUCAGGAAUACCGAAAGCGAAGGCGGUCUACUGGAACAUUAUUGACGCUGAGACGCGAAAGUGUGGGUAGCAAACAGGAUUAGAUACCCUGGUAGUCCACACCCUAAACGAUGAAUGUUAGUCGUUGGUGUGCUUGACACUUCAGUGAUGCAGCUAACGCAUUAAACAUUCCGCCUGGGGAGUACGGUCGCAAGAUUAAAACUCAAAGGAAUAGACGGGGACCCGCACAAGCGGUGGAGCAUGUGGUUUAAUUCGAAGAUACGCGAAGAACCUUACCUGGCCUUGACAUCCUUAGAAUCUUUUAGAGAUAAGAGAGUGCCUAGUUUACUAGGAGCUAAGUGACAGGUGCUGCACGGCUGUCGUCAGCUCGUGUCGUGAGAUGUUGGGUUAAGUCCCGCAACGAGCGCAACCCUCAUCAUUAGUUGCUAACAGUUAGGCUGAGAACUCUAAUGAGACUGCCUUCGUAAGGAGGAGGAAGGUGAGGACGACGUCAAGUCAUCAUGGCCCUUACGGCCAGGGCUACACACGUGCUACAAUGGGAAGGACAGUGAGACGCGAUACCGCGAGGUGGAGCAAAUCUAUAAACCUUCUCUCAGUUCGGAUUGUUCUCUGCAACUCGAGAACAUGAAGCUGGAAUCGCUAGUAAUCGUAAAUCAGCAAUGUUACGGUGAAUACGUUCCCGGGUCUUGUACUCACCGCCCGUCACACCAUGGGAGUUGAUUUCACCCGAAGCCGGAAUGCUAAAGUAGCUACCGUCCACGGUGGAAUCAGCGACUGGGGUG
rnacentral:rRNA from 1 species